CCAUACGGCCAUAGACCAAACAAAACAGCGGAUCCCGUUCGAUUUCCUGCACUUAAGCCCCGAAUCGGUUGAUUGGUAGCUAGGUGGGUGACCACUAGCGAACACCAGCUGCUGUGUGUU
rfam:Coniosporium apollinis CBS 100218 chromosome Tnknown supercont1.7, whole genome shotgun sequence.